rnacentral:rRNA from 1 species
ACGUCCUACGGGAGGCAGCAGUGAGGAAGAUUGGUCAAUGGGCGAGAGCCUGAACCAGCCAAGUCGCGUGAGGGAAGACGGUCGUAUGGAUUGUAAACCUCUUUUGCCGGGGAGCAAAAAGCGGUACGUGUACCGCAUCGAGAGUACCCGGAGAAAAAGCAUGGGCUAACUCCGUGCCAGCAGCCGCGGUAAUACGGAGGAUGCGAGCGUUAUCCGGAUUUAUUGGGUUUAAAGGGUGCGCAGGCGGCGAGUUAAGUCAGCGGUAAAAUUUCGGGGCUCGACCCCGACGAG